CUCAUUCCCAUUUCUCAGGAUAUGGUGGUGAUGUGUGGUUCCCACAGCCAGCACCAAAGGAUCACCCCUGGCGCUACAUGCCUAACCAUGCCAUGACCCCUCACAUCUCUGGGACUACAAUUGAUGCGCAGCUGCGGUAUGCGGAUGGUGUGAGGGACAUGCUGGAUAGGUAUUUCAAA